rnacentral:rRNA from 1 species
CCUACGGGAGACAGCAGUGGGGAAUAUUGGACAAUGGGGGGAACCCUGAUCCAGCCAUGCCGCGUGUGUGAAGAAGGCCCUCGGGUUGUAAAGCACUUUCAGUGAGGAAGAACGCCUGGUGGUUAAUACCCAUCAGGAAAGACAUCACUCACAGAAGAAGCACCGGCUAACUCCGUGCCAGCAGCCGCGGUAAUACGGAGGGUGCGAGCGUUAAUCGGAAUUACUGGGCGUAAAGCGCGCGUAGGUGGCUUGAUAAGCCGGUUGUGAAAGCCCCGGGCUCAACCUGGGAACGGCAUCCGGAACUGUCAAGCUAGAGUGCAGGAGAGGAAGGUAGAAUUCCCGGUGUAGCGGUGAAAUGCGUAGAGAUCGGGAGGAAUACCAGUGGCGAAGGCGGCCUUCUGGACUGACACUGACACUGAGGUGCGAAAGCGUGGGUAGCAAACAGGAUUAGAUACCCCUGUAGUC